rnacentral:snRNA from 1 species
AGAAUAUCUGAAAAUUUUUAUCGUUAAAUAAAGAUUCAUAAAGAUUAGCAUGGCCCCUGCGCAAAGAUGACAUGCAAAUUCGUGAAGCGUUCCAUAUUUUU